UGGUCCCAGCCUUAGGAUCAGUUGUCUCUUAAUAUACACAUGCAAGCCUCCACACCCCUGUGAAAACGCCCUUACAUCCCUCUAAGGGAUAAGGAGCUGGUAUUAGGCACAAAAUUAGCCCAAAAUACCUAGCUACGCCACACCCCCACGGGAACUCAGCAGUGAUUAACAUUGAAAAUAGGCGUCAGCCUGAAUCAGUUAAAGAAGAGUAGAGCCGGCAAAUCUGGUGCCAGCCGCCGCGGUUACACCACGUGGCUCAAACUGAUUCCCUCCGGCGUAAAGCGUGAUUAAAGUUAACUCUAACUGCAAUUAAACCAGAAUUAAGCUGUGACACGCUUAUUCCUAAGAAGCCCAUAGACGAAAGUUAUUGCAUCCCCUAACAACUUGAAUCCACGACAGCUAGGAAACAAACUGGGAUUAGAUACCCCACUAUGCCUAGCCGUAAACUUUUACUUACAUCUCUAUCGCCAGGGAACUACGAGCAAAGCUUAAAACCCAAAGGACUUGACGGUACCCCACAUCCACCUAGAGGAGCCUGUCCUAUAAUCGAUAACCCCCGUUUAACCUCACCAUUUUUAGCCUAUCAGCCUGUAUACCUCCGUCGUCAGCUUACCUCGUGAGCGUAGAUUAGUGAGCUUAAUGCCCCUACGCCAAUACGUCAGGUCAAGGUGCAGCACAUAAAAUGGGAAGAGAUGGGCUACACUAUCUAACAUAGAUUACACGAAAGACUAUAUAUGAAACCUAGUCAGAAGGCGGAUUUAGAAGUAAAGAAAAACCAAAGAGUCUUCUUUAACUUGGCACUGGGGUGUGUACACACCGCCCGUCACCCUCUUCAAAGUCUUAAUCUAGUUUUUGACACUUUUAGACACCAUAGAAGAGGCAAGUCGUAACACGGUAAGUAUACCGGAAGGUGUGCUUGGAAA
rnacentral:ncRNA from 1 species